rnacentral:tRNA from 1 species
GGGUCCAUAGCUCAGUGGUAGAGCAUUUGACUGCAGAUCAAGAGGUCACCGGUUCAGUCUUGAGCUG